CACCACCAAAAGCUUUAACCAAAUGAAGACUAUCAAUACCUUAGCAGGUCUCACUCUCUCCCUUGCCAUUUUAAUCACUUUUUGCCAAUCUAAUGCAGAACAAACACAACCCCUUUCCACUGUUCUCAAAACUGACCAGUUUCUUAACAAAGUUGCUCACUGGGUUCAUCAGCAGAUUCAACCCCAAGAACCAACACUGAAACUAGCACCCCCUACACUGCUAGCAGGAAUUUUAUGCUUCAUAGCUGCUUCUAUAUCUAGUGCAGGUGGCAUUGGGGGUGGAGGUUUGUUUAUUCCCAUACUGAUUAUAGUGGCAGGGGGUGGGC
rnacentral:misc_RNA from 1 species